UGUCAGUGUGUGUGGUUUAGCUAGCCAUGCUGGGUGUCGUGUGUGUGUCAGUGUGUGUGGUUUAGCUGGUGUUUUUGACUGACCUGGUCCCUUAAUGGCGAACAUGUCGCUUAUUUUGCUGCGUCUGUGGCAAGGGCCUUUCUCUUUUUUAUUCUCUCCCUCUCUGCUUCACCUUUCCUCUUCUGUCUGUCCAUUUCGCCGUGCGACUUGUCUUAAAUGUUAUCCGUAGAGAGGCAGGUAGACGCUUGCUAUAUGCAUCGCGGAGAGACCUGAUGUCAUUUUGGUGUGUGCACCCUCACGCCGGGGCACUGCAGCGAGUGAGUGAGAGUCGCGCCUGAUGUGUGGAUUCUCCGUCAACUCAUUCCUGCUUGCUAUAUUAUUGCUGGUCAAGUUGGCUAUUCACCGCAGGCCAAAACGACCCGGUGCUCCCGACGGCCAGUCCGCCAUUGCAUAGAGGAGUGGUACAUGACACCAGGCCAGACUUUCUGGUUAUCUCAGAGACUUGGCUGAAUCAUGGUAUUAUGGAUAAUGAUGUUGCCGGUGUUGACUAUAACAUUUUCAGAUGUGAUAGACACAUUGCCCUGGCACAUUACAUCCAUCUGCGGCAAAAGAGAAAAUCUAGUUUGGUUUUUUAGACUCUCAGUGUUAUUACAUUCCUUCCACAGUCCUUUCUGUAACAAAACUACACCUUGAUCUGAACAACCUGCAUCCAAUGCGCUAGACCUGUUAUCUAAUGGCUCCACCCAGAUCGCCUUUGUGGUUAGUGAUCUGUCUAGUAUCCGUGGCGUUAGUACUAACUGUACCCCAAUGCAUUCUCGUGUCUUCAUAUUUGGCAACCCAUUCUAUGCUAGUAGUCAAUCUUUCCUUUUUUACAUGGUUCAGUAACCAUCAAAGCAACCGACACGAAAGACUAUUGCAGGUAAAGUGGCUCCCAUUAUGUAUUAUGUCAUUCUGUAUUAUGUUUCAUGUUUUGUGUGGACCCCAGGAAGAGUAGCUUCUGCUUUUGCAACAGCUAAUGGGAAUCCUAAUCAAAUAUCAAAUACCAAAUACCAGACCCAACCCAACCCAACUGCUUCCUCUUUCUAUUCAGCUCUGCUUCCUCUAUCAUAGCGGCUUCCAGCUCACCCAUUAUGCAGCUGGAUCUGGUUUCACGUGAGAUGUGUGAACCCACUGAGGAGAGGCUGUGGUCUUCACCGCUGCACGUGCUGUAAGGAGUACUGUAUGUGGUCCUGACCUACCCCGUCCCAACACCCCCGCCUGGUGGAUGCUGAUGUACAACUCGGUCUCCAGGAUUCAGUCCGUGCUCUCGAUCUUCCAGUCUGGAUGACCAGACGACGGGUCCGGAACAGCGAUACCAUUCCGGACAUCCGCUGCCCAUCCUUGGAGCGGCCUGCUUCAUUCGCAUAAACCCAACCCGGAUCAAUCACCAGAGGGGGACCACAACGAUGGUCCACAACCAGGACAACCCACGAUCAUUUUUAUGUUGGUUUGCAACUUGCAGGAUAAUCGCAAGAUUGAACCCAACAAAGGGGAAUUGUCAUGACGUUGCCCUGUUGGGUGUGGUUUAUGACCCCCAUAGAUACCUUUCCCCCUUUUCUCGCCACUCUACAGAAUGGACUCUUGGAAAGCCCUUUGUUAACAUAGAGAGAGUAUGGUAACAUCAAAAUGUUGGGGAAUGGAACAAUAUUUCACUUUCUCAACCAGUUGAAAGUGUCAGUUGGUACUUAAAGAAUAUGAUGUCAGAUCAGUUGGUGUCUGGGACAUUAUAUCUGAUGAUAGGAUGACAUAAAUUGUAUCUUGGAAUGUCGACACAUUCCAGUUAUCAGAUUCACAUGGAAUUGUUGUGCAAUUUAAAUGUUUAAAUAUUAAACUAUUUAUGAAAAGAUGAAAUGUAAUUUUAGCUUUUAAAUGAGAGAAUUAUUUUCAUAAGUAAACUAUGCUCACUCAGUGGCCACACCCAAGUGAACAGACAUUGGUUGAGAACUAUGAAACACGCCCUUCUCUCCCCCACUACAAAAGCACGUUGACGGAAGUCAAAUUUAGUUCCCGAUGACAUGAGGACUGGUGUCCAUAUGUUUAAAAGGGCUAAUUUCAACGUGGAGGUGAUGAUCACCACGCUGGAAGGAUGAAUUUCUACUAGACCAGCCAGAAUUCAGCGUGAGCUGAUUAUGGCAAAAUGGUAUGAACUUUGAACUCUUAUUCAGUAAAGAAGAAGCGAUACAUCCUAGAAGUCGAGGAUUCAGCUGCAGUUGUAAACGUACGUGGCCUAGGAAAGGACAGACAAUCUCCUAAGAAUGACAGUGUACUUCAACGUAUCCUCUCUACAACACUACAACCAGAACGAUUCUGCAAAGGACAAUGGCGAUCUCUACUGGGCAAACUAGUCUUCCAUCUGCGACCCACCUAUCAAAGCGCAGCUCAGUGAGUGCUUUGAGGACAUCGACACAGCCCUGAAGCAUGGCUACCCCAAUCAACUGCAACACAAACUACAGGACAGAUGCAUAAAGUGCCUCAACCACCUCCAAAACCAGGGAGAGGCGCUAAACACCCCCAGACAGGGAUAAGGGGACCAGGCAGAGGGUGUGUGUAGCAGGCCCAGGGGCACAAAGUCCCCAAACUCCCAGCAGCAACAGAAUGGGAGUGCUCCUGUGUCAUGUGACUUUACUGUGGUGCAGUCCAGCCAGGCCGUGUGCAUUGCCAUGGCGAUAUUUCCCACGCUGAGUGUUCUGAACCAGUCCUGCAGCCUCAACACAAGCCUCACUUUCAGAACUACUCACACACACACUACUUGGACUCACCUCAACCAGACCUAUGCUCUACUGAUGAACUGGUUUCUACUGUCAAUCAAUCACAUCAGCCGAUGUCACAAAGUGCUAUACAGAAACCCAGUCUAAAACCCCAAACAGCAAGCAAUGCAGAUGUAGAAGCAGAGAGAGUCCUGUUUCCUGUUCUACUUCUCACUCUGUGUCAGAUGGAGUAUCUGUCUCUAUCAGAACAUCCAGAGACAUAUCUCGUGGACAGGUGAUCCUCUACUGCUAUGGUGAGGAAGAGACACGUCUGUCAACCUCUGGUUCUGUCCUUCUGUCUGUCAGUCUGUCCAUAUGUACACUACCGUUCAAAAGUUUGGGGUCACAUAGAAAUGUCCUUGUUGAAAGAGAAGCACAUUUUUUGUCCAUUAAAAUCACAUAAAAUUGAUCAGAAAUACAGUGUAGACAUUGUUAAUGUUGUAAAUGACUAUUGUACCUGGAAAUGGCAAAAUUUUGUGGAUUAUCUACAAAGGCACACAGAGGCCCAUUAUCAGCAACCAUCACUCCUGUGUUCCAAGUUUAUCAUUUUAAAAGGCUAAUUGAUCAUCAGAAAACCCUUUUGCAAUUAUGUUAGCACAGCUG